CUCUCUUUGCUAUCUGUGUAUAAAGAGUUGGGCCUGCUCGGUGAACAAAAGUUUUAACAGCUGCGGUAUUUUAACUGUACUAAGGUAGCAUAAUAAUUUGCCUUAUAAUUUGAGGCUAGAAUGAAUGGUUUGACGAAGGUUAAUCUGUCUCUAUUUUAUUUUUUAGAAUUUAAUUUUCAAAGUGAUAAAGCUUAAAUACUUUAAAGGGACGAGAAGACCCUAUUGAGCUUAUAAUUUUAUGGUUGUUAAUACUAUUUAUUUGUUCAGCAAUUUAUAAAUUUUAAUUGGGGUGAUUAAGGAAUAAAUAAUAUAGUAACUUCCUUAGAUUGAAAUAUUGUUAGAUCAAGUAACCAAUGUAUUAUUGCUUUUAUAAUAGUUACCAUAGGGAUAACAGCGUAAUCUGUUUAGAGAGUCCUUAUUGAAAAACGGGAUUGCGACCUCGAUGUUGGAUUAAAGUAACCUCAGGGUGCAGAAGCUCUAUUAGGUAAAUCUGUUCGAUUUUUAAAACUUUAC
rnacentral:rRNA from 1 species